CCUACGGGGAGCAGCAGUGGGGAAUAUUGGACAAUGGGCGAAAGCCUGAUCCAGCCAUGCCGCGUGUGUGAAGAAGGCCUUCGGGUUGUAAAGCACUUUCAGUGGGGAAGAAAGCCUUGGGGCGAAUACCCUCGAGGAAGGACAUCACCCACAGAAGAAGCACCGGCUAACUCCGUGCCAGCAGCCGCGGUAAUACGGAGGGUGCGAGCGUUAAUCGGAAUUACUGGGCGUAAAGCGCGCGUAGGCGGUCUGAUAAGCCGGUUGUGAAAGCCCCGGGCUCAACCUGGGAACGGCAUCCGGAACUGUCAGGGUAGAGUGCAGGAGAGGAAGGUAGAAUUCCCGGUGUAGCGGUGAAUUGCGUAGAGAUCGGGAGGAAUACCAGUGGCGAAGGCGGACUUCUGGACUGACACUGACGCUGAGGUGCGAAAGCGUGGGUAGCAAACAGGAUUAGAUACCCUUGUAGUC
rnacentral:rRNA from 1 species